UGCCCAGCAGCUCCUAUCCCUACCUCCUCGCGGUACCGGCCGGAAACUAUGAGCAACCUUAGGGAAGAUCGGGUAACCAACCCCGGUGGGAACUUUGGUCGUAGGCUGACAGGGAAGG
rnacentral:ribozyme from 1 species